UACGUAGGUGGCAAGCGUUGUCCGGAUUUAUUGGGUUUAAAGGGUGCGUAGGCGGUUCCAUAAGUCAGUGGUGAAAAUACAAUAGCUUAACUAUUGAGGUGCCAUUGAUACUGCGGAACUUGAGUACAGACGAGGUAGGCGGAAUUGACGGUGUAGCGGUGAAAAUGCUUAGAUAUCGUCAAGAACACCGAUAGCGAAGGCAGCUUACUAGACUGUAACUGACGCUGAGGCACGAAAGUGUGGGGAUCAAAACAGG
rnacentral:rRNA from 1 species